rnacentral:rRNA from 1 species
CCUACGGGCGGCAGCAGUGAGGAAUAUUGGUCAAUGGGCGGGAGCCUGAACCAGCCAAGUCGCGUGAGGGAUGACGGCCCUAUGGGUUGUAAACCUCUUUUGCCGGGGAGCAAAGUGCCGCACGCGUGCGGGUUGGAGAGUACCCGGAGAAAAAGCAUCGGCUAACUCCGUGGCAGCAGCCGCGGGAAUACGGAGGAUGCGAGCGGUAUCCGGAUUUAUUGGGUUUAAAGGGUGCGUAGGCGGACGCUUAAGUCAGCGGUAAAAUUGCGGGGCUCAACCUCGUCGAGCCGUUGAAACUGGGUGCCUUGAGUGGGCGAGAAGUACGCGGAAUGCGUGGUGUAGCGGUGAAAUGCAUAGAUAUCACGCAGAACUCCGAUUGCGAAGGCAGCAUACCGGCGCUCAACUGACGCUCAUGCACGAAAGUGUGGGUAUCGAACAGGAUUAGAUACCCUUGUAGUC